AUAAGGAAGGGUUCCUUCCGGUUUCUAUAUUCCUAUUGUGUACUAAAGUUGAUGCAACUCCAUAUUUUUUUCUCAUUCAUAUAAUUUUACCUGCUUUCCCUCGCAUUGCGUGCAAUUUAUUGUACAAGCUGAUGUAUUGAAUUGGGAGCUACUAAAGGUCUUUUCUCUUUAUUUUAAUAAACGGAAGAAAAUUCCGUGUAGGAUAAUAUAAAUUGGUGAGGUGUAUGGAGAUCGAGUGCAACGUACAAG